ACGCCGUUGGUGAAAUGGUUAUCAUGCUUGCCUUCCAUUCGCUGAGAUUCUCUCACGAGACAGCAAGCGGCGGGGGUUCGAUUCCCCCACGGCGUA
rnacentral:tRNA from 1 species